UAUCUCUGUAGAGUCUGCAUAUCAAUAAGCGGAGGAAAAGAAACUAACUAGGAUUCCCUCAGUAACGGCGAGUGAAGCGGGAAGAGCUCAAAUUUGAAAUCUUCAAGGUUCUACCUUGACGAAUUGUAGUUUAAAGAAGUGUUUUCUGUUGGAGUUUUUGUAAAAGUUCUUUGGAAUAGGACAUCAUAGAGGGUGAGAAUCCCGUAUUUGACCAUUAUUUCCAGCUUUGUGAUACACUUUCAAAGAGUCGGAUUGUUUGGGAAUGCAGUCCAAAAUGGGUGGUAAAUUUCAUCUAAAGCUAAAUACUGGCGAGAGACCGAUAGCGAACAAGUACCGUGAGGGAAAGAUGAAAAGGAACUUUGAAAAGAGAGUUAAACAGUACGUGAAAUUGUCAAAAGGGAAGCGUUUGACACCAGUGUUGUUUUCUCGAAAAUCAAUUAAAAAAGGCAGGAUUUUGUGUUGUAUUGACUUUAUCAGCUUUCUGCACUCUUUUCUUGUCUUUUUUAAUGCACUUUUCGUUUAACAAGUCAACAUCAAUUUCUUUUGUUGUAAAAGGGUCAUUGGAAGGUGGCUUUCUUUUCGGAGAAAGUGUUUAUAGCCUUUGGCCUCUGCAAUCGGAGAGAUUGAGGUCUGCAGCGUAGAUCCUUCGGGGUUAGAUACAUUUGUGCUAAGUUAUAGCCUUUCAUAGACAACUUGUUGACUAUGAUCAGUCAUGUAGCUUACUCGCUUAUGCUAUUUUACCUACGCUUAGGAUGUUGACGAUCAGCUGAGCGCG
rnacentral:rRNA from 1 species